AGUUCAGUCUCCUCCUCCGCAGCUUGAGCAGCUCAGGCUGCAACGCAGGGCUGAUGGCAUACCGACCGUGGCGCCAGACAAGGGACAUCGGAACUCGACUCAAGCGGUUGUUCAAGUCAUUAACGUUUAUUUUAAAUGUUUUAUUCAGCUUAAAGCUGAUUCUUGGAUAAUAUGAAGUGAUCCUACAAUUUUGAAUUAUUCCUCUUCGUGACGGAUUCUUGCACUCAAAAUAAAGUACAAUUUGGGAUCUUCUGGCUACUUGGAUACUAUACCUCAUCUCCUAGGAUGUCUCCUUUUGCUUGCCGAAGUGAAAUACGUAUGAAGUUGGAAUUCAUGAGUAUCUCUUAAAAACAGAUGGCAGUGCCUCAGGGGCGGUGGUAGCGGCACUUCCAUCUCGGCCGAACGAAGUAAAUGGCAUCUCAAGUGGUGACAUCGAGCCACGAGUGGAAGCGAGUGCAGAAAACGAAGAACGAUCGUCAAUAGAAAACGUAGUCUCUUCAAAUGAACGGAUUUUUUCAACAACGUCUUCAAGUGACCCAAGGACAGAGUUUUGUUUUGGAACAACCGAGGGACGUGGAUGCUAUGACAAUGAAAAAGAAGGAAUUUCUGAAGGAAAUAUCGAACCGGGCGAGUCGAUAAAUGAACGAAGCAAAGGCGAAAUUUGGCAAAGAUCCAAGUCCAAUCUUGAGUCACGAGCUGCUGGUGUUAUGGAGAAAAUUGAAUUCGACAAAAGUGUCGAUGAGGUAUACCGAGAACUAAUCAAUGAACUGAGAUUGAAAUUGGCGCUAAAUAUCGAUAGAUCAGAACAAACUGAAGGGGCACAAGCCGAAGCUAGUGGAAGCGGCAGUUGAUCUCAUUGGUUGCUCUAAAAUUUAAUGGACCAGCGUGCCUUCACAUUUAAGAUAUCAUCUGGCACUUAAAAUCCUUCGUAAUUUGAUGAAGGUGUCAUCUCAUUGAAAAGAAAAUAUGUUGAGAAAAUUUUAUUUACACUAGCCAAGAAAUUUGCUAUAUGAAGGUUAUUCACAGUUUUGACCAAAUAUGACAACAAUAACUGCCUGUUCGAGACAAUUGGAAUCAUAUUGCUAUCGAUUCAAUGAGUUACCCAAAACCACAAGAGCAGAAAUAUCUGUUGAACGAAACAUGAUACAAUAGAGUAUCUGACCGGCUGCUGUAAACUUGGAAUUGUCAUUCUUAAAACCGUCUCUUAGAAUCAGAAUUUAAAUUUUACCCCAUCGUCCUUGCGAUACAACAGGAUAUCGUACAACAGGCCGAACUUCACUUACAAAUUUAAAGCUUCCAAACAAUGAUUUGCAUCAAUUCCCCAGUUACUGAAUAGGUUCAUUCAACUAGAUGGUUUUGCAUUCAUCGUCGUAAACUAAUGCCUCUACUUCGUUUUAAAUAAUAUCCAUAGAUUGAUAAUUCGAAUGAACGGAAUCAAUAACUUAAUUAAGUAUCAGCCCCUUCUCUUCAAACAGACUUGCAAGUGAACAAUUGCAGAAUUUGGAGCAUAAAACAAAUUGCUUCAUUCAGAAAAUAUUAUUCAAGAUGUUCAAAGUCAUCUAGAAAUUUCUUCGCAAGAACCUUCUCUUCAGAGAACUUUAUCAUGCUCUACAUCUACCCUGUAGAUCCGAAUUUGUGGGACAAAAGUGAACAAAUUCGGUUCUAGAGAGGUUCGUGUGGUGCAUACAAAUCCUUCGGCAGCGCUCAUCUCGGCAUUCAAGCACAAACCGAGAACUACAUGACAUCGUUUUUUAUUAUUAGAAUAUAUUGCAGGAUUCUUUGGCUUAAUCUAUUAUUUGUAAGGCAUUUCACUCCACGUUACGAAUGAGCACACGAAUUAUAAUAGGAUUAUAUUGGCUAACUUUCUAUGAGGAUGUUAUCAAUUCUGAGCGAGUUCUUACGAGAAGGAACGAUAGUGAAAUUCAUCUGAUGUAGCCUUAAGAUUAUCAAUAUUAUUUGGUUUUGUUUUAGAUAGCCUUAGAUAGCAAUUUUUGGUAUUUAUUUAUUUUCUAAUUACAAAAAAUUCAUUCAAUUUACAUUAACAAGUGUAAUAAUAUCUAAUGUCAACUAUUCAUAAAGUGACAACGUUCAUAAUAGUUUAAUUGUAAAUAAUUUCAAUGUAUUAUAAUACUACGUCGGUAAACGAAGAUGUAUUAAGUUAUUCCAACCGGAAUAAGAAUAUACAUUCAUUCAACAAAUUUCACAAUGUACGUUGAAUAAUGGCCGGAACAUAACAAAAACUUGUUCUGUGACUGAAUUAUAACCUCCUUUCAAGGCAGAAUAUUUUCAAUCAAUUAGAAUUAUUCAAUUUAAUUUGCGCUUAAUGUUUGGCUACAACCUGUAUUUUAAAGAAUUUAAUGGGCAAGGAAGCAUCUAAGAAAUUUUUUCCUUAUUAUUUAGUGCUAGUCGCAUACAUGAAUUUGUCUAACUGGACUAUUAACUCGACACGGAACUCUGCAGCUAAGUAGCUUAGAUUGUGAAAAAAUUGCGACAAUUAUAAAGAAAUUUCUUCGUUCAGUUGAUGAGCAAGGUCAAUUCAUUUUGCAGGAAAUUUUCUGACACAAUAAUAAUACAUAAUUAGUGCUGCGAAACUGGAAAUUUCUGUGCAUGAUUGUGGAUUCCUAUUAAAUGCGUAGAAACGAUUGUGACGAGCAGUCUAAACGCUCUAAAUUUUAUUAUAAUUUACCAAAUCGAACGAAAGAAUUCUCAGGGUUUGUGAUGCUCUCGUAAUAUUUGGUCUGGACCUGAUUUUAACUGCUUGUGCUUGACUGACCUUAGUUUCCUUAGUAUUUCCUUAGUAUUUGUUUGGGACAUAGCAAUCCCAGGCCACACCAUCAAACGAAUUUCGAAAAAAUUCUUUUAUACGAAUAAUAAUAAAACUUGGACACAUCUUUAGUAAAUAUAAGGAUACCAUAAUUUUUUUAUAUUGCUGAAAAUACUUGCACAAACACAAACAAUUCCACUGUGCGUAUUAAAGCGUUUCAUAACACUGAGGGAUCUAAAAUCAAUGUGAACCUCGUAGUAGUGGCAAUUAGGUUAUUUAAAAGAAUCAUACCUAAUUCCACUGGCCAGUCCACACAAACGAGGGCUGGUAAAUAAACUUUCUUGAUGCACGAAAUUGAAACUAGUAUUCUAAACGAUA